rnacentral:rRNA from 1 species
UGGGGAAUAUUGCACAAUGGGGGAAACCCUGAUGCAGCGACGCCGCGUGAGCGAAGAAGGUUUUCGAAUCGUAAAGCUCUGUCCUAUGAGAAGAUAAUGACGGUAUCAUAGGAGGAAGCCCCGGCUAAAUACGUGCCAGCAGCCGCGGUAAUACGUAUGGGGCUAGCGUUGUCCGGAAUUAUUGGGCGUAAAGGGUACGUAGGCGGUCUAUUAAGUCAGGUGUGAAAGCGUGAGGCUUAACCUCAUUAAGCACUUGAAACUGAUAGACUUGAGUGAAGGAGAGGAAAGUGGAAUUCCUAGUGUAGCGGUGAAAUGCGUAGAUAUUAGGAGGAAUACCGGUGGCGAAGGCGACUUUCUGGACUUUUACUGACGCUCAGGUACGAAAGCGUGGGGAGCAAACAGG